rnacentral:rRNA from 1 species
AGAGUUUGAUCCUGGCUCAGGAUGAACGCUAGCGGCAGGCUUAACACAUGCAAGUCGAGGGGCAGCGGGGAGGAAGCUUGCUUUCUCCGCCGGCGACCGGCGCACGGGUGAGUAACACGUAUGCAACCUGCCCCUGUCAGGGGGACAACCCGCCGAAAGGCGGGCUAAACCCGCGUACAUGCCACCGGGGCAUCCCGGAGGCAGGAAAGGCUUCGGCCGGACAGGGAUGGGCAUGCGGCGCAUUAGGCAGUAGGCGGGGUAACGGCCCACCUAACCGACGAUGCGUAGGGGUUCUGAGAGGAAGGUCCCCCACACUGGUACUGAGACACGGACCAGACUCCUACGGGAGGCAGCAGUGAGGAAUAUUGGUCAAUGGUCGGGAGACUGAACCAGCCAAGCCGCGUGAGGGAGGAAGGUACAGAGUAUCGUAAACCUCUUUUGUCAGGGAACAAAGGCGGGGACGUGUCCCCGGAUGAGUGUACCUGAAGAAAAAGCAUCGGCUAACUCCGUGCCAGCAGCCGCGGUAAUACGGAGGAUGCGAGCGUUAUCCGGAUUUAUUGGGUUUAAAGGGUGCGCAGGCGGUCUGUUAAGUCAGCGGUCAAAGCCCGGGGCUCAACCCCGGCCCGCCGUUGAAACUGGCAGUCUCGAGUUGGAGAGAAGUAUGCGGAAUGCGCGGUGUAGCGGUGAAAUGCAUAGAUAUCGCGCAGAACUCCGAUUGCGAAGGCAGCAUGCCGGCUCCACACUGACGCUGAGGCACGAAAGCGUGGGUAUCGAACAGGAUUAGAUACCCUGGUAGUCCACGCAGUAAACGAUGAAUGCUGGCUGUCCGGGGGGACUGACCCCUGGGUGGCGAAGCGAAAGCGAUAAGCAUUCCACCUGGGGAGUACGCCGGCAACGGUGAAACUCAAAGGAAUUGACGGGGGCCCGCACAAGCGGAGGAACAUGUGGUUUAAUUCGAUGAUACGCGAGGAACCUUACCCGGGCUCAAACGGGGAGUGGCGCAGGCAGAGACGCCUGUUUCCCACGGGACACUCCCCGAGGUGCUGCAUGGUUGUCGUCAGCUCGUGCCGUGAGGUGUCGGCUUAAGUGCCAUAACGAGCGCAACCCCUUUCGUCAGUUGCCAUCGGGUAAUGCCGGGCACUCUGGCGACACUGCCGCCGCAAGGUGUGAGGAAGGUGGGGAUGACGUCAAAUCAGCACGGCCCUUACGUCCGGGGCUACACACGUGUUACAAUGGGGCAUACAGAGAGUUGGUCAUGCGCAAGCAUGAUCGGAUCAUGAAAGUGUCCCUCAGUUCGGACUGGGGUCUGCAACCCGACCCCACGAAGCUGGAUUCGCUAGUAAUCGCGCAUCAGCCAUGGCGCGGUGAAUACGUUCCCGGGCCUUGCACACACCGCCCGUCAAG